rnacentral:rRNA from 1 species
GACCGAUAGUGAACCAGUACCGUGAGGGAAAGGCGAAAAGAACCCCGGCGAGGGGAGUGAAAAAGAACCUGAAACCGUGUACGUACAAGCAGUGGGAGCACCCUUCGGGGUGUGACUGCGUACCUUUUGUAUAAUGGGUCAGCGACUUAUAUUCUGUAGCAAGGUUAACCGAAUAGGGGAGCCGGAGGGAAACCGAGUCUUAAUUGGGCGUUAAGUUGCAGGGUAUAGACCCGAAACCCGGUGAUCUAGCCAUGGGCAGGUUGAAGGUUGGGUAACACUAACUGGAGGACCGAACCGACUAAUGUUGAAAAAUUAGCGGAUGACCUGUGGCUGGGGGUGAAAGGCCAAUCAAACCGGGAGAUAGCUGGUUCUCCCCGAAAGCUAUUUAGGUAGCGCCUCGUGAAUUCAUCUCCGGGGGUAGAGCACUGUUUCGGCUAGGGGGCCAUCCCGGCUUACCAACCCGAUGCAAACUGCGAAUACCGGAGAAUGUUAUCACGGGAGACACACGGCGGGUGCUAACGUCCGUCGUGAAGAGGGAAACAACCCAGACCGCCAGCUAAGGUCCCAAAGUCAUGGUUAAGUGGGAAACGAUGUGGGAAGGCCCAGACAGCCAGGAUGUUGGCUUAGAAGCAGCCAUCAUUUAAAGAAAGCGUAAUAGCUCACUGGUCGAGUCGGCCUGCGCGGAAGAUGUAACGGGGCUAAACCAUGCACCGAAGCUGCGGCAGCGAACGUAUCACUUAAAGCGAUUCAGCGGGUUACGAUUGACGGAGCGAAGCGACGUCAAAGCGUAUACAAAGUCGAGUCGGUUUAAGGAUACGUUCGUUGGGUAGGGGAGCGUUCUGUAAGCCUGUGAAGGUGGCCUGUGAGGGUUGCUGGAGGUAUCAGAAGUGCGAAUGCUGACAUAAGUAACGAUAAAGCGGGUGAAAAGCCCGCUCGCCGGAAGACCAAGG